GGCAAGGUGGCCGAGCGGUCUAAGGCGCGCGGUUAAGGCUUCCAAUAAUUCGGAUCCUUCAUCUUGAUAUCUCAAGUUUCCGCGUCAUUAAUUUGGCGUGGGUUCGAAUCCCACCCUUGUCA
rnacentral:tRNA from 1 species